rnacentral:snRNA from 1 species
AUGAUUACCUAGCAGGUGAGAUACCAUGAUCACGAAGGUGGUUUUCCCAGGGCAAGGCUCAUCCAUUGCACUCCGGAUGUGCUGAUCCCUGCGAUUUCCUCAAAUGUAGGAAAUUCAACUGCAUAAUUUGUGGUAGUGGGGGGACUGC